AUUGAACGCUGGCGGCAGGCUUAACACAUGCAAGUCGAGCGGUUGACGGGAGCUUGCUCCCUGAUUCAGCGGCGGACGGGUGAGUAAUGCCUAGGAAUCUGCCUAUUAGUGGGGGACAACGUUUCGAAAGGAACGCUAAUACCGCAUACGUCCUACGGGAGAAAGCAGGGGACCUUCGGGCCUUGCGCUAAUAGAUGAGCCUAGGUCGGAUUAGCUUGUUGGUGAGGUAAUGGCUCACCAAGGCGACGAUCCGUAACUGGUCUGAGAGGAUGAUCAGUCACACGGGAACUGAGACACGGUCCAGACUCCUACGGGAGGCAGCAGUGGGGAAUAUUGGACAAUGGGCGAAAGCCUGAUCCAGCCAUGCCGCGUGUGUGAAGAAGGUCUUCGGAUUGUAAAGCACUUUAAGUUGGGAGGAAGGGUUGUAGAUUAAUACUCUGCAAUUUUGACGUUACCGACAGAAUAAGCACCGGCUAACUCUGUGCCAGCAGCCGCCGUAA
rnacentral:rRNA from 1 species